UACGUAGGGUGCGAGCGUUAAUCGGAAUUACUGGGCGUAAAGUGUGCGCAGGCGGCCGCGCAAGUCGAGUGUGAAAGCCCCGGGCUUAACUUGGGAAUUGCGCUCGAAACUACGUGGCUGGAGUGUGGCAGGAGGAAGGUGGAAUUCCACGUGUAGCGGUGAAAUGCGUAGGAGAAUGUGGAGGAACACCAAUGGCGAAGGCAGCCUUCUA
rnacentral:rRNA from 1 species